rnacentral:rRNA from 1 species
UACGUAGGGUGCGAGCGUUGUCCGGAAUUAUUGGGCGUAAAGCGUCUGUAGGUGGCUUUUUAAGUCCGCCGUCAAAUCCCAGGGCUCAACUCUGGACAGGCGGUGGAAACUACCAAGCUGGAGUACGGUAGGGGCAGAGGGAAUUUCCGGUGGAGCGGUGAAAUGCGUAGAGAUCGGGAGGAACACCAGUGGCGAAGGCGGCCUUCUGGACCAAUACUGACGCUCAUGCACGAAAGCGUGGGGAGCAAACAGG